CUUCUCUCAGGAUCGCACCUGAAGAGUUUCCAGUACUACUCUACCAGUAUCAGCUAUGGGAGGGAGAGUCAAGCAGAGGUAUACCUGUUCCAUUCCUAGCUUGAGCAGUGGCUAGCGAGUGGGAGGCAAUCUGCUACAAAU